AGAGAUGAAAGGCUGCAGAAAUGUUUAUUGAAUACAGUGCCAGGUUUAUAAAUAAAACUUAUUUACAAUUUCCAUAGAGUUGGUCCCCCGUCAGAGAGGUGGUUAAAUCUCCAAAACAGUUUAUCUCAAGAUUUACACAACGUCCAAGUACAACUCCUUGUCAAACAGCCACAGUGAAGGGUGACUUCGGUAACAGAAGGACCACCACCAUCCUUGCUAUAGGUGUUUUAAUGAACAUCGUCGAUAUAGGGGAAGAGCACACAUCCCUGAUUUCUUACUCAAAGGGAUAGAUAGCAAAUAAUCUGACUUCUACCGGACAACUUCAAAGGGUAUUGAAAAAAAUUAAGUAGGUGACCGCCAGCUGAGUGGGUCAGUUGGGACACAUCAGUGUAACUCUGGUCGCUGCCAAAGAGAAAUACACAUAGGACACACAAUAAAUCAUUCAAAUGAUUAAGAUAACUGAACUAAGAGUUGACUUGACCAAAUUUACAGUCUUCAUUCAAGAAGAAGUUCCCAGGAUGCUGAGGGGCGAAUGAUAGAUGCUAUUCCUCAUGUGUGACAGUAACACUAGGCCUACCGGGCAGCCAUUCCUUACAAUAUGAUUACAAGUUGGACAUGCACUUAUAAAGAGAAUAUAAAAAUAUGUACAAUAGCUCAUCUUCAAUGUGUUUAAGUUGCUCAAAGACACCAAUUAAAGUGUGCAAAAAUUUGUCAAAAAAUCAGAAAAAGCCUUCCCUGGCAACAGUACAUUAAAGCCCAUCUGAACACAGAAAACACACUAUGUAGAG
ensembl:lincRNA